rnacentral:rRNA from 1 species
AAGCAACGCCCGCGUGAGCGAUGAAGGCCUUCGGGUCGUAAAGCUCUGUCCUCAAGGAAGAUAAUGCCGGUACUUAAGGAGGAAGCCCCGGCUAACUACGUGCCAGCAGCCGCGGUAAUACGCAGGGGGCUAGCGUUAUCCGGAAUUACUGGGCGUAAAGGGUGCGUAGGCGGUCUUUCAAGUCAGAAGUGAAAGGCUACGGCUCAACCGUAGUAAGCUUUUGAAACUGUAAGACUUGAGUGCAGGAGAGGAGAGUGGAAUUCCUAGUGUAGCGGUGAAAUGCGUAGAUAUUAGGAGGAACACCAGUUGCGAAGGCGGCUCUCUGGACUGUAACUGACGCUGAGGCACGAAAGCGUGGGGAGCAAACAG